rnacentral:rRNA from 1 species
CAGCAGCCGCGGGAAUACGGAGGGGGCUAGCGUUGUUCGGAAUUACUGGGCGUAAAGCGCACGUAGGCGGCUUGGUAAGUUAGAGGUGAAAGCCUGGAGCUCAACUCCAGAAUUGCCUUUAAGACUGCCGAGCUAGCAGGUGAGAGAGGUAAGUGGAAUUCCGAGUGUAGAGGUGAAAUUCGUAGAUAUUCGGAAGAACACCAGUGGUGAAGGCGGCUUACUGGCUCAUACUGGACGCUGAGGUGCGAAAGCGUGGGGAGCAAACAGGAUUAGAUACCCGUGUAGUCCCUGUCUCUUAUAC